AUGUGUUAGCUGAGUCCCCUGAAGGCAGCAGAUGGUUGGUUGGUGAGUUCUUAUCCAUUCUGUGGUUCAGUAUCUUUUAAGUGGAGCAUUUACAUCAUUUACAUUCAAUGUUAGUAUUGAAAUGUGAGGUACCAUUGCAUUCAUUGUGCUCUUUGUUGCCUGUAUACUUUGUUUUUGUUUUUUGUUUUUGCUUUUUAGCUUGUAUUUUUGUUUUAUAGGUCCUGUGUGAUUUAUGCUUUAAAAAGGUUCUGUUUUGAUGAUUUUUUUUCAAGAUUUAGAGCUCCUUUUAGCAGUUCUUGUAGUGGUGGCUUGGUAAUGGCGAAUUCUCUUAGCAUUUGUUUGUCUAAAAAAGACUAUCUUUCCUUCAUAUAUGAUGCUUAGUUUUUCUGGAUACAGAAUUCUUGGCUAAUAAUUGUUUUGUUUGAGGAGGCUGAAGAUAGGGCCCCAAUCCCUUCUAGCUUGUAGGGUUUCUGUUGAGAAAUCUGCUGUUAAUCUGAUAGGUUUUGCUUGCUAGGUUACCUAGUGCUUCUGUCUCACAGCUCUUAAGAUUCUUUCCUUCGUCUUAACUUUGGAUAA
rnacentral:lncRNA from 1 species